ensembl:lncRNA
GUUGAAAUGGUCUAGAACCACCACUAGUAGGAUCUUCCACAGCCCAGAGGUGCAGAAAUCGUACUGCCAGAGGAGUUGGGGAGAUCAGAAUGGGCAUUCUGUUUCAUGUUGGUAUUGUCAAGUGCUAGCCCGUCUCCAGAUCCAACCUGACACCAGGGUUGUGUUCAUUGGGCACCAAAUGGAAGAACAUCAACUGAAAUGCGAAGAGAGAGAGAGGAGGAGGAGGAUGAGAGGAAGAGGAGGAGAGCACUGAAGACGUCUGCUUACAAAUUUUUGUUACCCACGGUCUUCAAAAAUGGUUGGAUACAGACAUUGAUAAUAAUGGUCCACUACCCAAAGGACAUCCAGCCAACUUGACACAACUGUGGGAAGCAUCGGCAUCAACAUGGGUCAGCAUCCCUGUGGAAAGCUUUCGAC